rnacentral:rRNA from 1 species
UACGGAGGGUGCAAGCGUUAUCCGGAUUCACUGGGUUUAAAGGGUGCGUAGGCGGGUUGGUAAGUCCGUGGUGAAAUCCCCAAGCUUAACUUGGGAACUGCAUCCGAUACUGGAUGGCUUGAAUCCGGGAGAGGGAUGCAGAAUUCCAGGUGUAGCGGGGAAAUGCGUAGAUAUCUGGAGGAAUACCGGUGGCGAAGGCGGCAUCCUGGACCGGCAUUGACGCUGGGGAGCGAAAGCUAGGGGAGCAAACGGG